rnacentral:rRNA from 1 species
ACGAAGUUGGAUUCGCUAGUAAUCGCGCAUCAGCCAUGGCGCGGUGAAUACGUUCCCGGGCCUUGUACACACCGCCCGUCAAGCCAUGGGAGCCGGGGGCGCCUGAAGUCCGGGACCGCGAGGACCGGCCUAAGGCGAAACUGGUGACUGGGGCUAAGUCGUAACAAGGUACC